rnacentral:rRNA from 1 species
UUGAACGCUGGCGGCAUGCUUUACACAUGCAAGUCGCACGGUAACAGGCCUUCGGGUGCUGCCGAGUGGCGAACGGGUGAGUAAUGCAUCGGAACGUACCCAGAGGUGGGGGAUAACGCAGCGAAAGCUGUGCUAAUACCGCAUGUGAUCUGAGGAUGAAAGCGGGGGACCGAGCAGCAAUGUUUGGCCUCGCGCCUUUGGAGCGGCCGAUGUCGGAUUAGCUAGUUGGUGGGGUAAAGGCCUACCAAGGCGACGAUCCGUAGCUGGUCUGAGAGGACGACCAGCCACACUGGGACUGAGACACGGCCCAGACUCCUACGGGAGGCAGCAGUGGGGAAUUUUGGACAAUGGGCGCAAGCCUGAUCCAGCAAUGCCGCGUGCGGGAAGAAGGCCUUCGGUUUGUAAACCGCUUUUGGCAGGAACGAAACGGUGUCCGCUAAUACCGGGCGCUAAUGACGGUACCUGCAGAAUAAGCACCGGCUAACUACGUG